rnacentral:lncRNA from 1 species
GAUAUUUUGAAAUACAAUGUGGAUAACCUGAUCAGAGUUGACAGUUCAACUCUGGGGUGUCCUAUGAUCAUUUUGGUCAAGGGGAUGAAUUAUAUGAAAACUAUAUCCGCAUGGGUUCUAAGGAUGUUGUUCUAUACAUUCGACCUAUCCGGUCGUCGGGUACCAUUGCUAGAUGGUCACUUCGAUUGGUAUAAAAAUUUAUUUCUGUGCUACCGACUUAGGUUCGGACCUAUGAGGUCACACACAUUAGAGUUUAUGAUCCGAUCGGAUGGUUGAUCAACGAUUAAGAAUCGUUCUAGGAUUAAAUGAUCAAUACGAUUGACAUUUAACCAAGUGCAAGUAUUGCAGGAGGAUCGAUUAGCAAUUCGAUUGCUAAUUGACUUAAUUUGAUUAAGUCAAUGGGCUGAGAUUAAGUCUAAUUAAAUAUGAUUUAAUUAGAUUUAUUUUGGACUUGAUUGAAUCAAAUCCAAUUGGUUUAUUGGAUAAGCCAAGUGCAAGGAAAAACUAGUCCUAGUUCAACUAGGACUUGGGUCAAUCUAAUUUCUAAUUUGAUUAAAAAAUUAAAUCAGAUUUAAAUCUAAUUUAA